GCGCACCCCGGCACAUCGAACGCGGCGAGCUCGGAGAGAUCAGCCACCAGGAGGAGCCAGCGUAAUUUGUUUCCGGGCUAAUUAAGGCGUGAGCGUUCAGGUGACAUAAUUAGCGUGAAGGGGGUGGAGCAGGAGGAGAUGCUGUGUGACUGCUGCCGCCUUUUCCCCACGGGCGCCUUGCAGACAGGUUUUGUUUGAGAACGCGCGUUCCCUGAGGGCAGCGCUUCCCAGCUUCCCGAACCAGGGCGCCUCAGUCCUUGGGCACAGUCCUUGGGCACAGACCUUGCUCCGGGCGUGCUGGGUGUUUGUCACACGCGGUGAUCACCACGCACAGCCAGUUCAGAGCUAGCGCUGGAGGAUGAAUCAAAGCCACCUAAAUGAAGGUGUAUCAGCCUUUUCCUUUUUGUAGUCAAAGAAAAAUCGCGUGCCUAAAUCCAGGCUUGGCUUAACCUCUUUUCCUUCAUACACUCCCAAAUAAAAUUAAUAUGAAAUUGUAGUAUGUAAGAACAAGAUACUGUUAUGUUUAACAACUUAACCAUUUUGGAGAUGAGUCUUGUCAUUUUAGGGGCUACCAGAAACCACCCGAGCAGCAGAAUGUGAACAACAGGUGUUUGCCUAUUUGUAGAUUCAGUCAACAGAGUAUUUGGGAUCUAGUCAUUCCUCUGUGUCUUCUUUAAAGUGUUGGUUGAAGAGGGAAGAACUUCAUAGCAACAGUGAAGACAAUUUCCCUGCCUCCUGCUCGUUGCCAGCUAGAGUCAGUUUUGUUGGCUGCAGGAGCAUCGUUAGAGAGGGAUGGCUCUGGUCCCCCACUGCACUUCUGGUGUUUGCUUUGAGCCCUGUGCUGGCGUUCUGCUCCUCUGUGAGCACUCCUGGGACUUCCACCACAGAUCUCAGCUUUGGAGAAUAAUCAGGUUUGUAGCAGUUUAAUUGUUUUCAGGUUUUGAGCUCCUGUGGGAAAACAAGUGUGAGUAAGAGCUUGAUGCAAGCUGAGUUGCACGCAAGCUGGUGGGGUGCCCACAGCUCUGGCCAUGUGUGGCCUUGGGCACCAAGGAGUGGCCAGAACUUCCUCAUCCAGAGCCUUCAGCACUUUCUGAAAAAACAUGACUUAUGUAUGUGCUUUACAGAGUGAGAGAAUCUGUUUAUUUUUAAGUAUUUCGUUCUAGGAAAUUUUGGGGUAUUUUUCAUUCUCAAAAUGUGUUUUGUGGCACUGUGGAGUCAGCUGCAGUGAUUCAAAUGCUGAGGAACAAGAGAAUGUAUGACUCCAUGGGAUUAUUUUUAGAUGCUGUGUUGCAUUAAUUUUUUUAAGACAAAUAUGCCACUUGUGGUUUAAGGAGGCCUAAACUUCAGACAGCUUAAAGCUGGGAUACUGUGUGGAAAUGCUGGUGUUGGGAAGCUCUUCCAUAUGUCUGUUACUGGAAAGCUCUCUUCUGUAUGUCUGCUAUUGGCCACUCUUAGGAAGGAUACCAAGGAGCCACUAGUGACCAUGUACAUGCAUUUGUGUAUCAAGAAAAUAAUCCUGUAAGGAACCUCCCGAAUGACUGGACAGGCUGGUCCCUUAAAGCCUAUUUUUAUUGUGCUCUAAUUCUCUUUAAUGAGAGUUCUGCAUUGGGAAAUCACACAGAACUUAAAUUCAAAGCAGAAGUGAUCAGCCAUAGAUCUCAAAUGAGACAGCUUCCAGUAGCUGGGAAGCUACACCUGGAAUGGUCUUACCCCGGCUCACCAUAGUGGGUGGAGGGCUUGCAGAGCAGAGGAACCUCUGACCAAAAAUCUGCCUAAAUCCAGCAUUGGAUCUUAGACUGUUUUCCUGGGUCUUGAUUUGUGAGGAGGUGGAAAAAGAAAAUUCUGUGAUUAAGUGCAAGCAGAAGACAGAUUUUGCAGAAAUUGCACAUUCAGCUCUUGGCUGUGUGUGGUGCCUCAGAUCCUGGGAGGAAGCAGGACUGGGAGGAGAGCAGGAACCGCCCCAGCCCUGGCACGGGACACCUCCCUGGGGAUGGGGUCAGACUGAGGCCAGACCAGGACAUCAGCCCUGACACCCACAGGCCCUCACUGCUUCUGCUGUGGCAUCCCCCAUCUUUUCAUAGCUGCCAGGAUUUUAUUAAUAAAGUUGGUACAUCUACUCUAUUUCACAGUGGCAACACCAACAUUAAAAUAUAUAUACAUGUAUAUAAUUAUUCAUAUAAAUGCAUUAAAAAUUAGAUGGCUUCUAUAUCACAACAGAGGUGAUCUGAGUUAUCAAUGUCGAUAAUAUCCCUUAAAAAUACUACUCUGAGGACCUGAAGGUAAACAGCUUGGGUCAUUCUGUGCAGUGCAAAGCUUAUCCCCAAAGCAUCACCUUACAGAGUGCCCAAGAGCAGGGAAAUCUGGUGCCUGGAUUUCCAUCCUGGCCCAGCCAAGGAGAGCCACCACUGCUGUCUUUGAAGGAAAGAACAAGAUUCCCUCAGCUCUUAGCUGAGAGAACCCCAUGCCUUGCCCUAAUCAUGCUAUCUUAAUCAUAUUGCCCUCUUCACCUUCUCCAAUGCUGCAGAGGUUUUAAUGAACUAAAGUGGUGUCAAGUGAAUAGUAAAUUAAAUGCUUAGCUUGCUCAGGUUUAAAAUAUGCAAGUGCUUAUUAUUUGAAAGCUUUGUGCAGGAGUAAUCAUUAAAUGAAACAUAGUGUGGCUUUGGUCUAUUGUGCUGAGUUGCAAAAGUAGGUUUGUCCCUUUGCAAACAGUGUGUCACUCACUCAGGGUCACUUCCCUGUAUUAAAGACACCCUUAUGGUGCACCUAUAGGAUAAGAGAGAAAUCCUCCUGGCUUUACAGUGAAUGGGAAAAGGAUUCUAUUAGAUUGAGUCAUCUUUACAAGCCCUGAUAGGCAUCUCUUGGAGAAGCAGUGAGAUACAAAGUGACACCAAUCGCUCCAGCCCAGGUACUCCUGUGUGGCUGUGGUUACACUGCAUAGACCCACAAUUUAGAAAGUCCCUGUUGGAGGUGGGUUCUGACACAUAUUCCCCUGGCAAUGCAGGGUGCUCCAGCACAGCUGGUAGCUGGAUGCCAGUUUUGGAUAUUCCUGGCAAACAUUCUGGGCAUGGUGGUGGCCCCUGGCCCAAAGCAGCCUAUGGUCUGCAGCUGUCAGGAUCAGUGCUGGGCUCCACACACUGUCCCAGCAGAGAUUUCCACCAUCUGCUUCUUCCUGUGUGGAUGCCAUGACGUCCAGUCCUUGUCUGGGCUUGCUCAUGCAAAGGCUCAGCAGGUGUCCAGUGCUUGGCCGAGUUGUGCUUUACCAGGAACCAUUCUCUGUUUCUCUUAGAACACAACUUUAAAAGAGACUUUAUUUGUGAUUCUAGAGGUUUUGGUGAUGGCAUAUGACCAUCAGGGUCUUCCUGAUCACAGCACAGAGGGGACUCAGUGUGGGACCACUGUGUCUUUGACCCAAACACCUUCUUCUAUGUUGUCCAUCACUCAGGUUCCCUCCGACUUCUCAUAUUUAUGGAUAUUUUUGCCAUUUAUCUACCAGCUAAUAGAGAAGCCUGGUCUGCCUGGUCUCAACAUCUUCUGCCUUUGAGAAAGUGAUACACAGCUUUGAGAGCUCUACUGCAGAAGUUUUGAUGUUCUCAAAAAUAGAAUAAAGAUGAUAUAAUAAUUAAAAUAUAAUAAUUUUAAGUAGUCCUUUUCAACAAAUUAACAUUCUUUUGUCAAUGGAAGAUAUUUAUCUUAAGCAAUUACCAUGUUUUCCUAGUGACAGACUGUUGGUGACCUUUAUACUGCAAGUGAAUUAUGCAAAUUGGUAUUUUCAUUAAACAUUAAAUAACUCCCUUGGGAGGAAAAAAUGUUACUUGCUGUAUAUUGGCUAUUAAAGUCUAAUGAUAUGAUUUACCACAACUUUGUUUUCUACCUCCAAGGGCUCCAGAGGAGAAGGGAUUAAAUCGUGGUUUGGAAUUUGAGGCUUAGACAUGUGUAGACAGAACAAAUGAAGUAAAAACACAAAAGCAAAACAAAUACCAGUUACUUCAUCCUGUGCUCCAAGUUUAUGUUUUCUCUAGCAGAGCAUCAGUAAAAUAAAUGCCUCCAGUCCCACACCUUGCAGCUCCCCAUGUACCUUGGAACCACCAGGUAGACAGCCCCCUUCUCCUCAUCGACCUGUACUCCAAAUCAACUCAUCAGUGUGCCUCAAACUCCAUCCUUGCCUUGUUGUCCUGCUUUCAGCCUUUCACGUGGACCACACAUGCUCCCAAAACCAGCCUGGAGCCACUUGGGCAGUAGCAGGCCUAGGGACGACAAAAUGUGGGGCAGGUUUCCUCAGGCCUCCCUCAGUCCCACAGAGAGGUCCAGAGACAAGAUUAUUGCAGAAGAGCUCACCAUCACCUUGACAUUCAAGUGCCUGUUUGAAGACAAAAACUAGGGAGAAUACACCAUUUUCAUUGGGUAUUCUGCUGUGAUAUCAUCUGCAUGUGUUGUUAAAAUAGUAUUCAUUGCUAAUAAAGUUUUAAGUCUUAA